GUGAGCCAAGAUGGUACCACUGCGCUUCAGCCUGGGAGACAGAGUGAGACUCCUUCUCGAGAAAAGAAAAGAAGAGAGAUAAACGCUGCCCAAGCAGACAGUUGAUGCUGUUUGCCAUGGCACGUGACUGUCCCUCCUUGAGUCAGGCUCACUUUUUCUGUCUCUAAGCAUUUGGCAUCCCGCGUGUUCCUGCUGUUUGAAGUGUUUCUGUCCAACACACCCAGUUGACCAUGCACAUUCGUUUAGCCAAAGGAGCCCCAUUUGCAGGUGAUUUAGGCUAUACUGGGUUUUAGACUCUGCCCGCUAUGUAAGGCGUGCCCCCCUGCACCACCUCUGUCAUUCUUUUGGGAAUCAGGUCAGGGCCUCCACUGCAUGUACCUUAACUCUUCAAAUCUGAGACACCAUCAGUUGCACGAUAUGUUAUUAUUGUGUGAGCCACUGUGCCCAGCCUGCACUGUUGUCUUUAAACUUUUCAAAGCCAGCUAGGCAGGGAUAGAGCUGUCACCAUACCCCAGGACAGGCAGCAGAACACUCAGUGUAGCAUGGAUCAUGAUAGUAAAAAACAGGGAACAAUCUGUUUUUGCAAUGAAUGGGAGAAUGGUAAUGCCAGCAGGGCAUAGCCACAUGCCAGACAAGCAUACAUCAUGAACACAAAUGAAGCAAGCCAGGUAUGGUAGCGGUGCACCUGCAGUCCCAGCUACUUGGGAAGCUAAAGCAGGAGGAUUGCGUGAGCCUAGUAGUUUAAGUCUGUAGUGAUCUGUGAUCACACUACUGUACUCCAGCCUGGGGGACAGAGCAUGACCCUAUUUCAAAACCAAAACAAAACAAAACAAAAAAUUAGAAUGAACCCAGAUGAUGUACUAUUAACUACACAAAGAGAACUCUGUAUAGUAUGAUCCCAUUUAAAUCUGUCAAAAUAUUUUUUAAAAACUAUAUGCUUGUACAUUUUCUUCUAAAAGCAUGCACAAAACUUUCACUUUGGAGGAGAGGAAUUGAUGGAAGAGAAGACUAUACUCUUAUAUCUUUAUGAUUUGAUUUUUUUU